UAUCUAAACCAUUGCAGGUACCAUCACUGGACACCUAUUCCUACCCGAUCCUUGAGCCCAGCCCACAUCAAAAAGGUCUCAGCAGAAUGUCCAUUUUCAUGCCAAGAGAGGUAAAACUGAGACCAACAGGGGGUGAGUGUCAACUAAACCCAGUUGAGUCAGAGGUUUAGCUGUUCUCAGAGGCCUGGGCCUGUAGGCGUGGAAGCAGGAGUGGCUGACAAGUGCAGGGCAGGACAGGAAACCCCACCCCAAAUCAAAGCAGAUCGAAUGGUUGAGAGGGAGGUGCAGACUCCAGAAGUUCACAUCAAAUCUUUGACCCCAAAUUGUCACUGCAGAGAGUUUUUAAACAGGGCAUUUCUCCAUAAGAACGAAAAGAGAAUUAAUUCUUCAUUUCUAUGUGCUUGACACAUUGACAUACAUGUUGUUUCAUGCAACCACCAAUAAAAAAAAAAUGAUAUGAAAUAGCCCUGGGUAAUGUAGUUCUGACCUCAUCACAUCCAUUCUUCUCUGCCCUGUCCCUCUCUCAUUCUGUUCCAGCACACUGGCCUCCAUCCUAUGCUUAAACAUUCCCAUUUCGCUCUUGCACUUGCUGUCUCUUCUGUCUAUAAUAUUUUUAGUCAUAUGGCUUGCUCCCUUUCCCCUUUACAUUUAUAAUAAUUUGUUCCAUCUUCUCAGACAGGCCUACUCUAAGAUCCCUGUUGGAAACUGCAACUUCCUACCAUAGCGUUCUGUAUCUCCUGUCUUUCAUUUUCAUGCCAUGGGCAUUUUGUGUAUAUGACAUAUCUCCACUAUUAUGUUUUUUUAUUAUUUGUCACUCUUCACUAAACCUGGGCCCCUUUGAAGCAGAUCAGGGUUGCUGUGAAACUUAGAACAAUAUUUGCCAUACAUCAAACCAUAAGUGUUUACUGAAUGAGAGUGUCAUCAUGUGAUUAAAGAGAGAACUGAGGCUUAGAGAGGUGAAACCUUGUGGCCUAUGGCCAUCCAGCCAGAGAGUGCUGAGUUCAGAUCAAGUCCCACCUGCCCAACUUCAGGACGGUAACAGCCUUUUCCCAAACCCUCAUGUCCACAGCGGUACCAUGGGGGUGGAAAGCACGGGGCCACGUCAGGCUGAAGUUCCAUGAGCAAGAGCAGCUGAGAAGUUCCCAUAAGACAAAUCAGAGAUCAGUGCUGUGCUGAGAGGGAAAGCUGAGGCAGCUUAGGGGAUAGUUUUCAAGUCCAAAUGACCUCAUAUGAGGUGAAUGGUUAUUUUCAUCUUGGCAUGAACUGCAUAUUAUUAUCUGCCUCAUUGUAUAGGUGAUGGGUUAAAUGCUGGAGGUAUUUUGAGUCACUUCUUCUUGGUUGCACAUACUGGGCCCUGAGACCCUUAACCCAUAACUCUUUCUUUGUUCCUGUCUUUUCAUGGUACCUGGAUCCCUCUGGCCACUUGGGAAAGCCUGUGUCAGGCUGCUUUCCACCUGGCAAGGACCAUGACACAACAGGGCCUAUGCUGCCAACUUGGCUGUGGGCUCUGAACACACUGCCAGCCUCUGCCAGCCCCAAGGUCUGCCAGCCAAUCAACUCAUUGUCUUCAGAUUGGAGGAGGUGGGGAGAAUUCCCAUAGCAGAAUUUAUGUGCUAGCUAAUUGGCAUGCAUAUGGGAAAGAUAUUAGAUUUCUUUAAAAAUAUGUUAUAGCUUAGGCAAGCAUUACAAUCUAUUUACUAUUCAUUUAUUUAAUAAAUAUUCUUUCUGAACUCCUUCUGCAUCAUAGACUGUGCAAGCUAUCAGGGGACAAUAGAAAAUGAAGCAGAGAUAGCUCAGUCCCUGGGGGCUUUUCUUCUAGUCAGGUGAACUGUGUUCUGGGUGGACAGAAAUAGUGUAGAAUGCUAGUUUUACAAUCAGAGUGAGGGCAUCUCGGGAAGCAUACCGAAGGAGGACCAGUGGCUACACUCACUCAGGGUACAAGAGACCAUGUCCUGGGCCACACAUGAACUGUUGCCAGAGUCUUUUGGAAGCUCUGCUUGCAAGGCCUUUUUAUAUCUCUGCAAAUUCCAGAUGUGAAGAAUAGUGGGACAAGUUACUUUGUGACUUUCCUUUUCUGAUUUCCUCAGUUCCCUCAAGGACAGGGUUGAACUUAGUGCUCAGUAAGAUCUUUGUUUCCUUAUUUUCUUUCCCUCCCUCCAUCUGGUUUGGCUGCCUUCAUAUUCCCCCCUUCCUUCCUCGCUAGGAAUUGCACCCAGGGGGGUACUUCAACACAGAGCUACAUCCCCAGCCACUUUAUUUUUGGAGUCAGGGUCUCACUGAUUUGCUUAGGGACUUACCAAGUUUCCAAGUCUGGCUUCAAGCUUGCAAUCCUCCUACUCCAGAUUCCCAAGUGACUGGGAUUACGGGUGUGUACCCCUGUGCCCAGCUGGGUGCACGUGAUUCUCUAUCCCUCUGGAGGUCAUUGUUUUCCAUAUGCCCUCCUCCCCUCCAGGGGAGCCUUGCACAGCAGAUCCCUGGGAUUCUGAGUUCACCCAGAUGAGGACAUUCUACUCCUCUUCUUCACUCCCUAACUCCUGGGGUGCCACCUGGGAUUCCUUGAUCUCACCUGUCAGAGUUCCUUGAACUCAACUCCCAGGAUUUUGUCAGGUGGAUCACUGUUGUCCUGUCAACUCUCAUCAAAAUUCUCCUUCAAUCCAGAAAGAUCGAGAUGACUGCUUUGAAGAACCAAAAGCAAGGUACCUGGGAGUGAACAACAGGGAGACUUGAUCUAGUGAGAGCUGUCACAGGGUGGAGAGGGAUGUUUUGUCAGGGGUACUUCCCUGAUGAUAUAAUAUUUUCAGUUAGAACUGGGAGCCAAUUAAAAUUGGCCUGAGAAAGAGAUGAGGAGAACAUUCCAGAAAGAGGAAUUAGCAUAUGCAGAGGCCUCAUGCAAAAGGGUCUGUACCAUCAAUGGAAGGGACCAAAGCUAAAGUGGCUGAAGCUUGGUGAAUGAGGGGCAGAGUAGCAGGAGACAGAGCUAAGGAAAGCUGGAGAGCUAACUGUGGGAAGACUUAAGUGGCACUCUGACCCUUGACUUGAACCUUGUCCCUUCCUGGUACUGCUACCAAUGUUCUCCGGGGAAAUGAGACUCAGUUGUGGGAGGAGAAGAGGAUGGUGUGAGGAGGUCCUCCAGCACCCCCUCAGAAAGAGCAGAUGGUGCUGUAGUUUGGAGUGAUUGCCUUGAAAUAGUUGAUUCAAAAUAGCUAUCUGCCAAAUUUUUCUUUUAUUUUAAAUUCUAAGUAAUGUGUUUAGAAGGUCUUUCUGGCCCUUAUCACAUUCUUUAAUCUCACUUG